UACGGAGGGUGCGAGCGUUGUCCGGAAUCAUUGGGCGUAAAGGGCGCGUAGGUGGCCCGGUCAGUUCGUGGUGAAAGCGCGGGGCUCAACCCUGCGUCGGCCAUGAAUACUGCCGCGGCUGGAGCACUGUAGAGGCAGGCGGAAUUCCGGGUGUAGCGGUGGAAUGCGUAGAGAUCCGGAAGAACACCAGUGGCGAAGGCGGCCUGCUGGGCAGUUGCUGACACUGAGGCGCGACAGCGUGGGGAGCAAACAGG
rnacentral:rRNA from 1 species